rnacentral:rRNA from 1 species
AGUUUGAUCCUGGCUCAGAUUGAACGCUGGCGGCAUGCCUUACACAUGCAAGUCGAACGGCAGCACGGGAGCAAUCCUGGUGGCGAGUGGCGAACGGGUGAGUAAUGUAUCGGAACGUACCUUUCAGUGGGGGAUAACGUAGCGAAAGUUACGCUAAUACCGCAUAUUCUCUGAGGAGGAAAGCAGGGGACCUUCGGGCCUUGCGCUGUUAGAGCGGCCGAUAUCAGAUUAGCUAGUUGGUGGGGUAAAAGCUCACCAAGGCGACGAUCUGUAGCGGGUCUGAGAGGAUGAUCCGCCACACUGGAACUGAGACACGGUCCAGACUCCUACGGGAGGCAGCAGUGGGGAAUUUUGGACAAUGGGCGCAAGCCUGAUCCAGCCAUGCCGCGUGAGUGAAGAAGGCCUUCGGGUUGUAAAGCUCUUUCGGCCGGGAAGAAAUCGCAUUGGUUAAUACCUGGUGUGGAUGACGGUACCGGAAUAAGAAGCACCGGCUAACUACGUGCCAGCAGCCGCGGUAAUACGUAGGGUGCGAGCGUUAAUCGGAAUUACUGGGCGUAAAGCGUGCGCAGGCGGUUUUGUAAGACAGGCGUGAAAUCCCCGGGUUCAACCUGGGAACUGCGCUUGUGACUGCAAGGCUAGAGUACGGCAGAGGGGGGUGGAAUUCCACGUGUAGCAGUGAAAUGCGUAGAGAUGUGGAGGAACACCAAUGGCGAAGGCAGCCCCGUGGGUCGAUACUGACGCUCAUGCACGAAAGCGUGGGUAGCAAACAGGAUUAGAUACCCUGGUAGUCCACGCCGUAAACGAUGUCAACUAGGUGUUGGGAGGGUAAAACCUUUUAGUACCGGAGCUAACGCGUGAAGUUGACCGCCUGGGGAGUACGGCCGCAAGGUUAAAACUCAAAGGAAUUGACGG